AUGUCAAUCAUCACUAGGGACAACUCUUACAUUGCCUUUGUGAAGGCUCGUCAUAGUGAAUUUCUUAUGUAUGAUCUUGGUCCUCUUCGCUCCUUCCUUGAGAAUGAGAUUUCAUCUUUAUUUUCUAAGAAGUAUACCCAGGAUCUUCUUGCUCGUGCUACUCUUACUGACGAGCGCACUGUUGAGACUCAACAUCCACCUUUGUGUCCACCUCCGCUCCCUGCCAGUCUGGAUGGGCAUCCUUUGCCUUGCUGUGGGUUGGUAUGUGAACUGUCUCAAUCCCACAUCCCAUGCUCCCUUGUUGAGCGACACCAUAACCCUCGAGCAACACCAAUGGUGAGCAGGAGCUUGGACAAUCGGCGCGUACCUAGAUUAUGCACGACAAGCCGAGGACAGACGCUACCUAAAGCCAGGGCUAAGGGCGCACAAUAA
rnacentral:rRNA from 1 species